UGAAGGACUUAGAUACGCUGUGCCAGUUCGGUAAGAUUUGUUUUAACUUCAGCACAUAUUAUGAAAAUGCAAAUGAUACACUAGCUUUUGUGUCUUAUACAUUUUCACAUUAGAUAGUAUUACAUUUAUUUCUUUUUGAACAACCAAAUGAUUUAUACAUAUUUAUGGAUAUAUAUGAAUACGCGAGCUUUUAUUAUGUCACUGAAAGAGAUUAGAUUAUGCUAUUCAAAGGUCGUGUCUGAUUUUAGAUCUUUUUAAGGGAGUUAUUAUCAUUCGAAAUGAUAUUAUGUACACAUUUUCCUUGGUCAUUCCUGCAUUGUUUGUGAUAUUGCUGUAUGACACCUACUCAGCAGGUUAGUCAACUAUAUAGUAGUGUGAAACUGCUAGAGAUCAGGUCAACAGAAUAAGUACUUUUAGCUUGUGUUUCUUUAUAUUUGCAUAUGCACAGGUGUCAUACAUGUACAUAAGAUGAUAAGAAGGUACUAGUGUAUUAAUCAACAGACCGUAGAUACACGGAUUUAAUAAAAGUGUACGCCAGACGCGCGUUUCGUCUACAAAAGACUCAUUAAAAAAAGACUGAAAAGUUAAAUCGUCAAAAAAAUCAAUCUAAUUAAAAUUAAAUUUUUUAAUUGCUCCUGUUCUGAUAUGUCGCGCAUCAAGGAUCUAACGAAACUCGAUAGACAGGUCAAAUCUGGUGACCUAAGUUCACAAACUAUAUAUUUGAAUAAUAUUAAUUUUUCGUCCAAUCAGAAUCCAUCUCUUAAACGAGUUUCGGAACAUCAUUCAAAAUGGCGAGCAAAAGUGACAUAGACGUAGCGAUUGACAAAGUUUUAACUGAUUUCAAAAUUUCCACCCUCAAAGCUGAACAAAGGACUAUUUUGGACUGUUUGAUGCGCGACAUAUCAGAACAGGAGCAAUUAAAGGAUUUAAUUUUAAUUAGAUUGCAAAAAAAUAAGUAUGAAGUUGAAGAGCAUUGAGGAUCGACCUAAAAUUCUGAAAGGUUUUGCCAAAUAUAACUUACAAAGUAAUCUUUUCCUCGUGUAUAAAAUCCUUAGUAUUUCUAAAAAUUCAAAAUUUAGUAAUUAACACUUAUUUUACUAAAAUAAAAGACCUAUUUACCUAUCGACCAGUUAACAGGAUAAUACAAGCAAUUGGCAUAACACAAUCUAGAUCUACUCUGAACAGAAGAGCUAGGACUAAGUAAUGGACACUUGAUUUUAAUAACCCAUUUUUAGUAGGUUACUUUUAUAAAAAUCUAUAUAAUACUUUAUGAUUCUAAUUUCAGAGUUUUGGAUAUACAUCCUGAUUGGAUUCGGCAGUUGUUUGGCACUUGUGUUUAUUAUUUGGUUAUGUUGGUUCUGUCUACGAUCUAAAAAUACCAAAGUUUCCAACAAAAAAUAAAGCUAUUAAAAAACCUCAGUAUCAUUAUGUGGACAGAUUAAUUUAUGUCAUAUUAUUGCAUUAGUUUCGC
rnacentral:lncRNA from 1 species